rnacentral:pre_miRNA from 1 species
UAAACUCAAAUUUAUAUGGAGUUGGAACGUUUGCCUACGUUUGCGCAGGAUGCGCUCUUCCAACUGCAUACAAAUUUGACGCUA